rnacentral:lncRNA from 1 species
CAGCUGUACGUCUGUGAGGAAAAGUGGUCACUGUUUCCAUUAGGGCUGAUGGUGAUUGUUAGGGUGAUUUCUUUUUCCAGUGGUUUACUUUAACUUCCAUUCACGCCACAGGUGAAGGCUUUCUUCCUGUUCCUUUGAGAGUUGUCCCACCCUUCCCAUGUUAAGCAAAUCUCAUUUCUUUCCCCCACUUGUGUUUUGGGGUGCCAAACGCCUCAGCCCCCUGAGAUGUUGUCGCUUUUGUGGUUUUAAGUCCAAUUGUACUUUUGAAAAGGGACCUUUGUGUGACACAGGAUCAGUAUGUACCAUGAGGUGUGCAAAAGAAAGAAGACCGGCUUCCACGUGAGCACCUUGGAAUGGUCCAGACCAAGGCAAAGAGGUCCCCUCUGCUUGUAGAUAGCCACCGCCCAGCCACCGCCCAGCCCACACUGGGGUGUUACUUAAUUCGGCCCUGAGAAACCUUAAGGAAGACUUAGGUUCAAUUUUCUCACAAAAGUUAUACUCACAACUAAAUGAAAUCAUCACAAUGGGAGAAAUUAAAACAGCAGCCUUUCCCCUGAAGUUAGGGUAACAACCCUAGCCAUUGGAAAAUUUUGGAUUGUCGGGAAGCCCUAUUGCUGUGGUAUGAUUAAUCCCAGAAGGUGGUGUGGACAACCAGAGAGAUGCAGUCAGUCUUCCAAGCAGUGAUUUAGAGGUAAAAAUCGUUAAUCUUGGAAAAGCAAAUUCACCACCAGGGGGGCGCACCAGCCACAUCCGUGAAACCAGCCGCGCUGAAAAGUCGGUGGCCGCCUUCUCCACAGCCUCUCAACCUUUUCCCUUUCCUAAUCUCCAGAGAUCCAUGUUUAGCUUAAUAUAACACCCCGAUUAAACGGGAAACAUUGCUUUAUUUCGAAAAAUAUUGAAUAUUUGCGUGCUUGGAGAACAUAAAUCUCACCCUCCCCGGGUUCCCAAAAUCUAAAGCAAACCAUAACCUAAGAGCAAAGGGAGAGCCUGCAGGGGGGAGGGAAGGUCGAUUGGAGAUAAUUUAUAAUUAGGAAAAGUCUGCAGGAUUCUUUUUCACAACUUUUCCAGGUCUCCACUGGGCAUCCUCAGGUUGAACUGGACAAUAACGGACGGCCUGGGAGGGCAGGAACUGGAGGGGGGGGGCGUGAUGGUGGGAAGGUUAGGAGCAAACAAAACAAUGCAGUUUGUAAAGAUAAUAAAUGGAACGUGGCCGGUGGAUACUAUUCAGCCCAUUUUCUUAGGGUAAGGGGAG